rnacentral:lncRNA from 1 species
UAUUGAUAAUACGAAUAAACACCGAUACAUGGACAACUCUUUGCCCAGAUGCUUCUCUAAGCAUAUUGCAGCCACUUGAUCUCUAAGUCAUGUAGGCUCACCUAACAGUUAUUGUCCGCACUUCUUAGUUAAGUCAAACCCACCAUUCACAAGCAGGUGUAAAGCCGUCAUUGGGUCCUUCACCUAACAGUUAUUGGAUCCAACUCUAUCUUUACCCCACAGCAACUCUUUGCUAAUAG